rnacentral:misc_RNA from 1 species
AAGUCGUAACAAGGUCUCCGUAGGUGAACCUGCGGAGGGAUCAUUACAGAGUUUUUAACUCCUAAAACCAUGUGAACUUACCACUGUUGCCUCGGUGGAAGGUACCCGAAAGGGUGCUGGAAGCCGGCGGACAUCUAAACUCUUGUUAAUUUUUGUUAUUCUGAAUCAAACUAAGAAAUAAGUUAAAACUUUCAACAACGGAUCUCUUGGUUCUG